CGUAGGGUGCGAGCGUUAAUCGGAAUUACUGGGCGUAAAGCGUGCGCAGGCGGUUUUGUAAGCCAGAUGUGAAAUCCCCGGGCUUAACCUGGGAAUGGCAUUUGGGACUGCAAGGCUGGAGUGCGGCAGAGGAGACUGGAAUUCCUGGUGUAGCAGUGAAAUGCGUAGAUAUCAGGAGGAAUACCGAUGGCGAAGGCAGGUCUCUGGGCUGACACUGACGCUCAUGCACGAAAGCGUGGGGAGCAAACAGGAUUAGAUACCCUGGUAGUCCACGCCCUAAACGAUGUCGACUGGUUGUUGGGGGUUUGACACUCUCAGUAACGAAGCUAACGCGUGAAGUCGACCGCCUGGGGAGUACGGCCGCAAGGUUA
rnacentral:rRNA from 1 species